ensembl:lncRNA
AGUAGUGUUUAUUUGGUGACUGGUCUAUAUGUGAUUUCCCACCAGCUGAUCCUCUUAGACCGACUCUGUCUCCGUCUGAACUGGAGGUGGAGGAGGGGGCCUCAGUGAGUCUGCAGUGCUCUGCUCCAGCUCCCUGUCCAUCUCUUCGUCCGACUGUGACGUGGACCCCCAGUCUGGGAACCAGUCAGGAGACACUGAUGGAAAAUCAGGACAAAACUAAAGUCAUAAAGUCCGUUCUGAAUUUCAUUGCCUCUCACCUCCACCACGGACAGAGGUUCUCCUGCACUGCUGUCUACAGGAGACAAGACAACAGGAAUGUGUCGUCUGUUAGCCAAAGACUAACAGCUCAUGUUAAAUUUGCUCCACAGAUCCUGUUCUCGUCCAACUGCACCAAAGCUGCAGCCACAGUCAGCUGUUCCUGUUCCACUGUGGGAAACCCUUCUCCCAGAUUACAGUGGUAUUUGGACGGGCUAUCUGUGAAUCACUCAGGCAAGGUAGACGUCAGCAGUGAGUCUCUGCACGGCACAGGUCUAAGGAGCACCAUCACCGUAAACCUCCCACAGGAGUUGCAUCUGUCCACUCUGCUCUGCCACAGCAGCAACUCUGUGGGUUCUACCACUCACCAGUUCUAUGUCGACACCUUCGAGCAACAAACCUUUUCAAAGUCUGGUUUUAGUCAAGCAGGAAAUCAAAACAGAAUGUGAUGCCUAGUGAAGGGGACACGACGUACAUGUCAUUAGACAGAAGAGACGUGUCUCCUGAAUAUGGGGUCAUUGGACAACUUCCAACAUGAGUAGAGGAUGUAUGUGUUUGUCAUUCUAAACUGGGCUCCAAAACACAAAUAUUCCACGGUUUCCCACAGCAGAUGGGAAAAAUACUUAAUUCAGUGUAAAUACAUAUUAUUUCAUAAGAUUGCUGUUUUUUCAUUCUAUUAGUACUGGUGUUUUUUCAGGUCUAUACUUAUCGUUAUUUUGGUUGUAUUUUUGUUUUCAGUGUUCUGUUCUUUUAGUUUUAUGCAUCAUUAUUAUGUCAAAUGCUUGUACCUUCACACACAUAAUAUGUCAUAUAAGACAAUAUACAGGAUAUACAGCUCUGGAAAAAAUUCAGAGACCACUGCAAUUUCCUGUGAAAUCAGCAUGUGUGCAUGUAUGACAGCCAUUCCAUUCCUGUGUGUGUUGAAUUCCAACACAAUCACACCUUAUUCUGCUGAAUAAACACCUGAUCCAUGUCUUAUUUAAGAAAGAGAAGUAUAAAAACCACUACUGGGGCCAUCACUAUCUUCUUACAAUAGAUAAAAACAGUGCCAUUAGUACCACAAAAGUAAUUGGAAUCCAAAAAUAACUAUUGAAAACAACUGGACUUCUGCUCUGACAGUGUUCCCAAACUCUGAGGACUGGUUUUUCUAUCAGGACAAUACUCCUGGCCUCAGCUAGGUCAGUAAAGGUGUGGAUGACGGACCACCAGAUGAAGACCCUGACAUGGCCAGCCCAAUCUCCAGACCUGAACCCACUUUGAAAACUUCUGGAGGAAGAUGGAUGGACACAAACCAUGGAACAUGUCUGAGCUUCUUGAAUUUCUGUGCCAGGAGCUGCAUAAAGUCAUCCAACAGCAAUGGAGGAGAGACAAGACACAUGAAAGCUGUCACUGAAAAUCAGGGUUAUUCCACCAAAUAUUGAUGUGUGAACUUUUCCCAAGUUACAACAUUAGUAUUGUGUUGUUUACAAAUGAAUAUGAACUGGUUUUCUUUGCAUUAUCUGAGGUCUGAAAACACUACAUCUGUUUGUUAUUUUGACCAAGUGUCGUGUUCUGCAAAUACAUGCUCUAAAUAAUAUUUUUAUUUGGAAUUUGGAGAAAUGUUGUCGUAGUUCAGAGAAUAAAACAAAAAUGUUCAAUUUACUCAAACACAUACCUAUAAAUGGUAAAAUCAGAGAAAGGGAAAAUUUUGCAGUGGUCUCUUUUUUUUUUUUCCAGAGCUGUACGUCUUGCAACGUGAAAUGCCUGUGUUUUUUUUCUCCUUAAUUUCCCUCAUUUUAAAUAAUGCCCUUUUAUUGUAAAAGCUGAAUUUUUAAUAUAUGCAUGU